UGUGCAUCUUGCAUUGUACAAAUUAACAUUGUGGCAAAUUAACUUUGUAUUAUUUUAUCUAUGUGUGUAGAGAAUCUGAAUCUAGUUUAUUUUCAUCAAACUUUGUUUAGAUUGUUGGAGAUAUUAGAAGCUAUUAAAUAAAUGUAUCACGAAAAGUAUUUCACGCCCGAUGCGAAAUUUUUUUACACAAUUAAAAUUAAUUGAAAUAUAUGACGAUCCUUUCCAAUUCUGUGUUUUGCAUUAUCAUGUCUUGAGGCUGAAAAACAGAAUAAACGACUGAGUAAUAUAUUUCCUCAAAAUCGGAAUAUGACUAUGUUUAUAUAUUUAUUUUACUUCUCCAUCAAUUUUGUUCGAACAUCAGAAUGGAUGGAUAUUAGUGAAUAUUUGAAACCAAGCGCAAUGAGGUUGACACAUACUGAAAUGGAUGGGGAUGCACAAUAAAAAAUGACUCCAAUACAGAAUAGAACUUUAUAUCAGUUACAUCUGUACAUAGUUAGAUAAAAAUGUUUAUGGCUGGAAUUACAGUUUUCAGAUUUUCGAGAAUCUAUACUGAAAGACUGGAUGGAGAGAUUUAGACGCUCAUCAUUGGACAUAUACAAAAUCACUCCUAUAAAGCAACAGUUUUGUGAGGCCAUCUCCAGAAUGCCUGUCCUUCAUUCAGCAUAUUUAUACUGAAUUUUUCAGGCCUGUCAGUUAAAGUUAGGAAGUUAGGAAUAGUCAGACGAACAAGUGAUAUCAAAUAAGGGUUCACCUAGUGGUUCUUAUGUUAUCAUACACACUAUUGUCACAUAUACGUGGCAUUUCAUCAGCACUUUUGCUGGGAUACGUGGGGAUCUCAAGAGACAGCUUCAUAACGUGUGAACUUGUAGGGGUCCUACACGAGACAACCACAAUUCUGAACUCCAGCAAUUUCUGCUGGAACAUAACCCGGUUAACUCUUUUUUGCAUGUGUUUUUAACUUUGUUAAUAAAAAACAAUCCUCUGGCUAAAAUUAGUUUGAUCGAGAUUGAAUACAUUGCGGCUGGAUAUUUCAAACAACAAUUAGUGAUAUUAUAUCUCUUCAGCAGUUUUUAAGCUUUUCAUGUCGUUUCUGUUAUAUUAACAGAUAUAAUUUGGUAAUAAAAAUGCCCUGUCACCUGUAAGGAGUGUUUGGUUUGGACCGCUGAUCGAUUUUGGUAACAAGUCGACACGCCACGACAAGGUUUCGACCACCGUGUUGGAUAUAUAUAUAUUUUUUCAAUCUUGCACAGAUUGACAGAAUCGCUAUAUAUAUGCAGGGAAAAUACAUUGAUAUAUUAUUUGAAUAAAUUUUUUCGUCUCUUUGACAACUCUCUGAAAAUUUCAAAGGAAUUUGUCCAGUAGUUAAAGAGAAAAGCGAUUUUUUCUAGUGCGAUAAUAAGAAAAUUCUAACCACGACCACCCAAAACAUAAUAACCAAACGAUCCAUAAGUUCAUUUCGUGUCUAAUAGAAUACAUGUCACAAAUUACAAAAACGGAUAUCGGCUUAUUACAGUGCAUUUGAGAAAGGUGAGUGUGCAGUCUUUUUCAAGCGAGAGGGACCAGUUUAAUAUAAGCAAAGAAAGACGUAGGAAGCGUGAUGUAACUAUGUCUUAACAACAACUAUGUCAAAACCGAGGCAGUCUUCACGUAGGGCCGUUACGCUUGGUGAAAUGGAAGCCGUGUUUCCAUGAAUAGAAAUAUCAAAUCGCAUAGGAUUCAUCGAAUAUUUAGUAAUAAAUAAAUAUAAUAGCUUUCUGGCAACAACAACAGUCUUUAACCACUGAAAAUUCCAAAGCAAUUGAUCCAGUAGUUACAGAGAAAAGCGAUUUUUACUCAAGAAUAAUAAUACCGAGAAGAUACCGUGAACAACAACAUCAUCACAAAACGAUCCAUAUAUAGACUUCGUGUCUGCAAAACGAUUCCCAUAAACUAUAUAAGGUAAUAAAUACCCUUCUAGCGACAAAUAUAACUGCUCCACCAAUUAAACAAAACAAAAAAUUUCCACAACAACAACAAGAAUACCAACAACAACAAAACGAUCCAUAGGUACUCCUCGUGUCCAAUAAAUGUGUAAGAUCAACGGCGGUCAGCAUAUGUCCUCAAUAGAACCAAAAACAACGUCCUAUUGUUGGUGAUAAACCGACAUGAUACUGGCUAUUGAAAUUAGCGGAUGUUUUUUUGGUACAUAUGUUGAUCACCGAUUUGCUGACCUUAUCUAAAAAUAGCCUUACGAAUUACAACGCAAAAUGUUUGGGGGAAGAUAGUUUUUAGGUUACGAGAGUUUCGAGAAAAGAGGAUGAGAGUUUGGACGUGCCGUGCUGACAUUUAUAACUCGAGGUAUAAAGUAAUAGUGUUAGCAUAUUAAUAAUACAUUUGGAUAAUUGCCUCUGUUUCAAAAGGUUGGCACAAGCAUUUAGAUCUUCUCGACCAGAUGGAUAUGAUUCUCAUUUCAUGUUGUUUUUUUGCCUAACUUGUCAUGAUGAGAGUUUUCGAUGUCUAUCACCCUAUAUGUAUCGCUGAACUCAAUAGUAACAGACAUGUUAGGGAAUCGAAACUUGUCAUUUUUACUCCUUCCAAUCUAUCUCGAUUUACGGUGGUAACGCCAGAGGCGAGGCAAAUUUCGCUUCAUUUUCAUGGUAUUAGAAAUUUAACGAUCAACUAUCUCGCUGUCCUGUGAAACUGCCAUUAAGUUGACAAGGUUUGUCGGUUAUCUUCAGGUUAUACGGCCUGUUACCCAAUUACAAAUAGUUAGAAUUCGAAGUACAUUCAAAUACCUUUAUAAUCGAACAGUUCAUGCACAAGAAAACAAAAACACCUUGUGACUGAGAAUAAAGUUUGCAGGCAAUGGAACUACGGAGAACGAAAUUUUUUUAUUAUAUAGGUUGCUCAUUAAAAUCAAUUGAGCACCUGAUAUUAUGCCCUCCAUAUAUGUGGCAAAUGAGGCAGAUGAACAAGAAAUCAAAAUCGUAGUCAUCAUCCGUGAAAAAAUCGUGAGGGGAUUGAACAGUUUUGAGACGAAGACGAACUCACAAUAAUUUAUCAAAUGAAUGAUUCGAACUUUAGUUAUUAAUAAUAAAAGUAGGCAAAAUAUUCAAACGCUCUUUCAACUAUUUUUAUUUCCUAUAAUAUUUGUAACACGCACAAUUACUUCUCUUAAACCCGAUUGUGUUGUAAAUCGCAAGGCUAUUUUUAAAUAAGGUCAGCAAAUUGAUAAUUUGUGUAUGUUUUAUUCAAAACAGUAAUCACAGAUUUUAACAGUCGGUAUUAUGCCGGUUUAUAACUAAUAACAAUAGAACAUAAGGUGAGCUGUUGAUCUUACACAUUUAUCGUAUUUCAUUGCUUAGUUCAGUCUAUCAAAAUAGGAAAGCUUUUAUUCUAAUUCUUGUUCUCUAUACCUGGCAAAUGUAACCCCUGCCCUUCUAUUUACUGAAAUAUCUGUACUCGAGUAAUAAUAUUCUGAUAAAGGAACAUAUACACGGUUACAAGUAAAUAAAAUUCAAAAUAUCCUUCAUUCAUUUGAUAGGAAUUCUAUAAUUUUUGGAGGUCUUCACAUGCUUCUGUUUUUCUGAUUAUAUUGAAGUCAAGCCACUUUAUACGAAUCCAGCUUGGAAACUAAUUUUUAAAGGGAAAUUGGUUGAAUUUUUUCAAUUAAAUACUGCAGAUGAAACAGCUGCUCAACUUGAAAAAAUUAGGGUCUGUACAUGGUUAUUUGAAAUAAAAUUUAUGUAUUAGCCAUGUUACAGGAAUUUUUUAACCAAUGCAUAUUUUAUUGAAUCCAGGUCGCCUCCAUUCGCUCCAUUUGACUGUAAAAGCGCAAAACAUGUGUCAUACACACAUUUUAUCAAUGUUUUUAUAUGAGUGAAUGUCUUUCGGAAGAUUCAAUAAGAAUGCUCAUAUUUUUCGCAUGUUUCUUUCAUGCAGCCUUCCUUGUCUAACCUUCUCCAUAAAGACGGUAAAUUUUUUUUUCAUCAUUCUACAGAUAUAGUCACCAAACUGAUGUUUCAAAAUAUACCAACAAUUUUAUACUUUACUUAUUUCUCUGACCCCCUUUCCCACGCGGUAUAUCAUAUAUAUAUAUAUCAAAAACCGUACACUAUGCACCAAGAUUAGUUCUUGAUUUUCCGAUUUUAACACACUUUUUGGGGGCAACGGAAUGUUUUCAGGAACUUUAAUCGGAUCAUCAUGCGUUAUUAUCUGUGUCGCAUCGUAAAUAUAGUUAAUUUAGUACUUGAAAUGGCCUUCACAAUCUUUCACUUUUCCUCGGCCGGAAAAAGAUUUCAAAACGCACAAAUUGCAAAUUCUGAACCCAAAUAAACCAAAUUGUAAUUUUCUGUCGAACCAAGCCUGCACUAUGACUCGCAUUGUUGUUUGUCUUCAAACGGACGUUUUGUGAUUUUAUGAAAACUGAUUCAAAGUAAUUGAAACGUUUUAUAUUUACUAUUAAAACCUAGUCUAUCACAAUUUUGCGCCAUCAGAAAAGAAAAUGACAAAAGUGUCGAGAAUGAAAAAAUCUGUACAGGAAAUCAAAUGUGUAUAUAAAUGAGAGAUUGCAAAUGCUUUCUUAUCACCGACGAGAGUACCAACCCAACAUUACUGCAAACGAUAUUCAACAAACUGAGAAUAUGCGCUCAAUUACUUUCAUUCUGCUGCUCCUGUUCACAAUCGUAGCAUUCUCUGAUGCUUGGGUAUCUCAAAAUAAGUAUAAACCAAUACAACAAGAAAAAAAGUGUAGCUGUGAUGCAGAACUGGUAGAGAAACUUGUUGACGAAGCAGUACAAAAUAAGUUCAUGGAUAUGGCCGCUAGUCAGAUCAACAUGUUGGACAGGGAUGCAAACACGCAUAAAAGGAAGAAAUAACUUAAUUAAUAUAAAUUUAUUUGCUUGAAAAUGAUAAUGUUAGUAUCCAGUAACAUCCGUUUUAUCACCGUUUUGAAUUGCUGAACCGUUAAUCUAGUUUUAUUUUUUGGCCACAAUAAUUGCUGGUUUUGUUUAUUUUUUUCAUAUUGAGUUAAUGUUUACAAAAAUUAUUACGCCUGUUGAAAUCUGCCCGUUAUCAAUUUAUCAUUUUCAAGCACGUAAAUGAUACCUCCACGACGAGACACAAACCUGUUCCGAUAUCGACAACGAUUCUUUUUUUUUUUUAUA